UGCAAGUCGAGCGGACAGAAGGGAGCUUGCUCCCGGAUGUUAGCGGCGGACGGGUGAGUAACACGUGGGUAACCUGCCUGUAAGACUGGGAUAACUCCGGGAAACCGGAGCUAAUACCGGAUAGUUCCUUGAACCGCAUGGUUCAAGGAUGAAAGACGGUUUCGGCUGUCACUUACAGAUGGACCCGCGGCGCAUUAGCUAGUUGGUGAGGUAACGGCUCACCAAGGCGACGAUGCGUAGCCGACCUGAGAGGGUGAUCGGCCACACUGGGACUGAGACACGGCCCAGACUCCUACGGGAGGCAGCAGUAGGGAAUCUUCCGCAAUGGACGAAAGUCUGACGGAGCAACGCCGCGUGAGUGAUGAAGGUUUUCGGAUCGUAAAGCUCUGUUGUUAGGGAAAAACAAGUGCAAGAGUAACUGCUUGCACCUUGACGGUACCUAACCAGAAAGCCACGGCUAACUACGUGCCAGCACCCGCGGUAAUACGUAGGUGGCAAGCGUUGUCCGGAAUUAUUGGGCGUAAGGGCUCGCAGGCGGUUUCUUAAAUCUGAUGUGAAAACCCCCGGCUCAACCGGGGAGGGGUCAUUGGAAACUGGGAAACUUGAGUGCAAAAGA
rnacentral:rRNA from 2 species